AGUAGUGCCAACAUAACGACUAAUUUCUUGAAGUGAAGACGAAGAAUAGUGGAAUGUGAAUUGAAAACAAAUUCCUCUGCCCCCUCCGAAAGACUAGGAAAAAUAUUUGUAACUUUAAAAUAAUUAUUAAAAUAACCAAACAUGGUCCGCCGACAGCGUGAUCAGAGCACCACAGAGGAUGAAAUCGUAAUUGACACACCGCCGCUGAAAAAACAUAAAAGGCAUAAGCACAAAAA